ACUCAAAGGAAUUGACGGGGGCCCGCACAAGCGGCGGAGCAUGUUGCUUAAUUCGAUGCAACGCGAAGAACCUUACCUGGGUUGAACUACGCAGGAAAAGCCGUAGAGAUACGGUGUCCGCAAGGGCCUGCGAUAGGUGGUGCAUGGCUGUCGUCAGCUCGUGUCGUGAGAUGUUGGGUUAAGUCCCGCAACGAGCGCAACCCUUGUCCUAUGUUGCCAGCGGGUUAUGCCGGGGACUCGUAGGAGACUGCCGGGGUCAACUCGGAGGAAGGUGGGGAUGACGUCAAGUCAGCAUGCCCCUUAUGCCCAGGGCUGCAAACAUGCUACAAUGGCCGGUACAAAGAGCUGCUAUCCCGCGAGGGGGAGCGAAUCUCAAAAAGCCGGUCUAAGUUCGGAUCGAAGUCUGCAACUCGACUUCGUGAAGUCGGAGUCGCUAGUAAUCCCGGAUCAGCAAUGCCGGGGUGAAUACGUUCCCGGGCCUUGUACACACCGCCCGU
rnacentral:rRNA from 1 species